GGGAUGACGUAAAAGCAGCAUGGCCCGUAGGCGGAGGGCGACACACGUGCUACAAUGGGUAGUACAGAGGGUUGACAAGCCGGAAGGUGGAGCUAAGCCCUUAAAGCUACGCUCAGUUCGGAUUGUAGGCUGAAACUAGCCUACAUGAAGCUGGAGUUACUAGUAAUAGCAGAUCAGAAUGCUGCGGUGAAUGCGUUCCCGGGUCUUGUACACACCGCACGUCACACCACGGGAGUUGGAGACGCACGAAGCCGAUUAUCUAACCUUUUGGAAGAAGUCGUCGAAGGUGGAAUCAAUAACUGGGGUGAAGUCGUAACAAGGUAGCAGUAUCGGAAGGUGCGGCUCGAUCACCUGCCUUCUGA
rnacentral:rRNA from 1 species